rnacentral:lncRNA from 1 species
CCCUGCCUUGUGAAGAAGAUGUCUUCUUCCCCUUCCACUACAAUUGUAAGUUUCCUGAGAUCUCCCCAGCCAUGAGGAACUAUGAGAAAACUGAUAAGCAGAGCGAAGCUGCUACCUGCUAAGGUUCCGUGGUUGCUUGGUGACCAAGUUGAGACCACAACUCAGAGGAGAUGGUUACCAGGGCCCCUUCUAACACACCAUUCUGGAUGUGCCUUCCUUCCUGACAUUAAAAAAGUUCAACUUAUAAAUCUUUUAAGAAUGAAAUCCUAAGAAAUCUCAUGUGCAGUCAAUUUCCCCUCCACACCUCUCUUAGGUUGCAGCCAUACACUGAGGGCUUUCCUUGAUGCCAAAACAACCUAAAGCAAUAGAAGAUUCUUGGAAGAUCUUAGAACGGUGGAUCUCAGACUCCAGCAUGCAUCAGAAUCACCUGGAGGUGAUC